GACGAACGCUGGCGGCGUGCUUAACACAUGCAAGUCGAACGGUAACAGGCCCUUCGGGGUGCUGACGAGUGGCGGACGGGUGAGUAAUGCUUAGGAAUCUGCCUAGUAGUGGGGGAUAACCCGGGGAAACUCGGGCUAAUACCGCAUACGCCUACGGGGGAAAGGCGGGGACGUCUCGGCCGUCGCGCUACUAGAUGAGCCUAAGUCCGAUUAGUCUAGUUGGUAGGGUAAGUGGCCUACCAAGGCGACGAUCGGUAGCUGGUCUGAGAGGACGACCAGCCACACUGGGACUGAGACACGGCCCAGACUCCUACGGGAGGGCAGCAGUGGGGAAUAUUGGACAAUGGGCGCAAGCCUGAUCCAGCGAUGCCGCGUGUGUGAAGAAGG
rnacentral:rRNA from 1 species